UACGCAUAUGGGUGAGCAGGAGGGUGAGUGUGAGCAAGCAUUCUCAAUGUGACAACCUCGUCCAUUAUUUAGUGACUGGUAGCCAACACUUUCUGCCUUUUUGCUAUCUUGGUUAUGAAGUAAUAUUUUCUACCGUGUUGUCCACCUUUAGAUGGUCUGCAUUGCAACAACACGGGGCGCAGUGUCAAAGAUGCGUUUUUUGUAGUCCAUCUUCAUAACAUUGUAGUUUCAUCACGGCAGGUAACGUCAGUAACAUCCGCCGUCACAUAAUUACGUCGCCUAGAAAAGAGCAGUCGGAUUCUCUUAGACCCGUCGUCCUCUUUUCCAAAGUCCUUACGGAUUCUCCUUCACAUCUCUUGACCUCGAUGGAAAACGUCAUGAGGUCAAGGAAAGGUGGUCAGGAAAGGAGAUUUUUGUGACUUUUCAGAUGCAGCCUAUGUCUCCUCCUUACCAUAGACUGUAGCCCACAUAAAAAAUACAGGCCUUAAAGCAGCGCUAUUUUGACCCUCGGCGCAUCCACUAAUCUCUCUACAGUGUGCGCUCACUUUAGCGCCAGACCACAUCGAGGAAGAACAGAGAGAAGCGGGCUAAGACGCAGUUGGAAAAACGAGAUCACACGGGCCCAGAAGGGGGAGUCCUAAGUGUAAAAACACCAUCACUCAGGAUUUUUGAAUGCCGCCAUUUGCCAAAGGAGUUUUUUCCCCCUGGAAACUCCGCCUGGAUUGUAGCUUAGUGGUGAACUCUUCACUGGAUGCAGAUGGUGAGCCAGUCCCAGAGAUGAUUCACCCUGUAUGAUGAGAUCGGACCGCAGUGUGGCCAGCUGCUUCGGAUCCCAUUCAACAGGACUGACACAUCAGAUUACAGGACACUGGCAGAUAAGAAAGAUCUACCACAAAUUCAUUACCCUUCCUGGGCAGAGAUACAAAUAACUGAAAGACAUUGUAUACUUUUUAAAAUUGUAUUUUUUAUGAAAGAGCUCUUCUUAUUCUGGGGAUUGUUUCAAACAUGGUUGGUGCACUACCUGCCUACUGUUCUUUAAUCACACAGUCUAUUUCUUACCCCUAAACUACUCCUCAGAACAUAGUUUGGUAAGUUAGCAGAAGUGAUACACUAGUGUUAAAUAUUUUACACCUGUCUUUAGUAUUCAAAAACUAUGCUACAGGGCUUUCUCCAGUACGUUGAAGUAUGACGCUAAGGGGCUCCCAAGUGUGUUAUAAAGUGACAUCAAGGAGUCUUGACCAUUAGUCCGUAUGUGACGACAUGGGAGUGAGAACGGGUUAGAUUUGUAAAUGGUUAAUUUAUUAUCAACAAUUGUACAGUUUAUGCAGCAAUGGUUUAUGAAAGAAGGGCUGAAAGACAUUUUGUAAUAAAUAAUAAGUUCUGUAUCCCA